rnacentral:rRNA from 1 species
UACGUAGGGACCGAGCGUUGUCCGGAUUCAUUGGGCGUAAAGAGCUCGUAGGCGGCUGCUCAAGUCGAAUGUGAAAACUCGAGGCUCAACCUCGAGCCUGCAUUCGAUACUGGGCGGCUAGAGUCUGGUAGGGGGAUCUGGAAUUCCUGGUGUAGCGGUGGAAUGCGCAGAUAUCAGGAGGAACACCGGUGGCGAAGGCGGGAUCCUGGGCCAGUACUGACGCUGAUGCGCGAAAGCCAGGGGAGCGAACGGG